rnacentral:rRNA from 1 species
CACGUAGGGCGCAAGCGUUGUCCGGAAUUAUUGGGCGUAAAGAGCUCGUAGGUGGUUUGUUGCGUCUGCUGUGAAAACCUAGGGCUUAACCCUGGGCUUGCAGUGGAUACGGGCAGGCUAGAGGUAGGUAGGGGAGAAUGGAAUUCCCGGUGUAGCGGUGAAAUGCGCAGAUAUCGGGAGGAACACCGGUGGCGAAGGCGGUUCUCUGGGCCUUACCUGACGCUGAGGAGCGAAAGCGUGGGGAGCGAACAGG